UAUUCUCUCCAAGAGCACAAACCUUUCAGUGAAAGUCUAGACAGUCUCUAUGGCUUGCUCCUGCUUCACUGGAGCUAACAGCCUCCUAAAUGAGCACGACAUGUUCUGGAUGAUUCAAAAUUGGUCCAGCCAUUUUGUGUAAGCCCCUAGUGAUUCCCCGAGCUAUUCCAAAGACCUGAUACUAGAAGAACUAAAGAUACACCACAGUGCUUCACAGGUAAAAAUCAUUUGAGCUGUUACUAAGUCUUGUGG